UGAACAAAAACCAGAGGAGGAAACCCGACCGAGAGGCGGGGCCAAAGGCGAGCCCGCCCCCGCCGCCUGUUUAGAGGGAGCCGAGCGCGCCGGUCGCGGGGAAGGUGAGUCUGAAGGCGAGCCCCUCGGAUUCGUCCCGGCCGCGCCCGGCGGGGGUCAGGGGAAGGCUCCCGCGGGCGGCCGACAUCCUGGAUGGAGCACGUCUACGGACUGACCCGGUUCGUGAAAAGGUACCUUGAAAACAGUUGAGCAGAAGAAUGGGCACUAUUUUACUUAAACAUAAAAAACCAUUCAGCCAAUGAACUGUAAUUCAGCAUGAGCAAUUAUUCUAAACAUAACUUGAGCAAAGAUUUGGAAAAGCUGAAAACAUUGUUCAUUCGAUCUAAGCAGAGAAGCCCAGAAAAUCUCGGAGAGGUGUGGUGGCUGGCCCCAGUUUCCUGACUAUGGUAGAGAUAAAAUGGUUCUGGGAUCUGCCCAACAUUUUCACCAAAGUUAUUCUUGUAAGUUUUGCCUACAGGCUAUUUCACUAACCUUUCUAAAGAUUCUAUAAUCCAGAGAUCCCCAACCUCUGGGCCACAGACCAGUACCUCCUGUUAGAUCAGUGUUGGUAUUAGAUUACAAAAAAGUGCGCAAUAAAUGUAAUGCAUUUGAAUCAUCC
rnacentral:lncRNA from 1 species